rnacentral:rRNA from 1 species
UGGGGAAUAUUGGACAAUGGGCGACAGCCUGAUCCAGCCAUGCCGCGUGUGUGAAGAAUGUCUUCGGAUUGUAACGCACUAUAAGUUGGGAGGAAGGGCAUUAACCUAAUACGUUAGUGUUUUGACGUUACCGACAGAAUAAGCACCGGCUAACUCUGUGCCAGCAGCCGCGGUAAUACAGAGGGUGCAAGCGUUAAUCGGAAUUACUGGGCGUAAAGCGCGCGUAGGUGGUUUGUUAAGUUGGAUGUGAAAUCCCCGGGCUCAACCUGGGAACUGCAUUCAAAACUGACUGACUAGAGUAUGGUAGAGGGUGGUGGAAUUUCCUGUGUAGCGGUGAAAUGCGUAGAUAUAGGAAGGAACACCAGUGGCGAAGGCGACCACCUGGACUAAUACUGACACUGAGGUGCGAAAGCGUGGGGAGCAAACA